rnacentral:rRNA from 1 species
UACGUAGGGUGCAAGCGUUAAUCGGAAUUACUGGGCGUAAAGCGUGUGUAGGCGGUUCGGAAAGAAAGAUGUGAAAUCCCAGGGCUCAACCUUGGAACUGCAUUUUUAACUGCCGAGCUAGAGUAUGUCAGAGGGGGGUAGAAUUCCACGUGUAGCAGUGAAAUGCGUAGAUAUGUGGAGGAAUACCGAUGGCGAAGGCAGCCCCCUGGGAUAAUACUGACGCUCAGACACGAAAGCGUGGGGAGCAAACAGGAUUAGAUACCCUGGUAGUCCACGCCCUAAACGAUGUCAACUAGCUGUUGGGGCCGUUAGGCCUUAGUAGCGCAGCUAACGCGUGAAGUUGACCGCCUGGGGAGUACGGUCGCAAGAUUAAAACUCAAAGGAAUUGACGGGGACCCGCACAAGCGGUGGAUGAUGUGGAUUAAUUCGAUGCAACGCGAAAAACCUUACCUACCCUUGACAUGUCUGGAAAGCCGAAGAGAUUUGGCCGUGCUCGCAAGAGAACCGGAACACAGGUGCUGCAUGGCUGUCGUCAGCUCGUGUCGUGAGAUGUUGGGUUAAGUCCCGCAACGAGCGCAACCCUUGUCAUUAGUUGCUACGCAAGAGCACUCUAAUGAGACUGCCGGUGACAAACCGGAGGAAGGUGGGGAUGACGUCAAGUCCUCAUGGCCCUUAUGGGUAGGGCUUCACACGUCAUACAAUGGUCGGGACAGAGGGUCGCCAACCCGCGAGGGGGAGCCAAUCUCAGAAACCCGAUCGUAGUCCGGAUCGCAGUCUGCAACUCGACUGCGUGAAGUCGGAAUCGCUAGUAAUCGCGGAUCAGAAUGUCGCGGUGAAUACGUUCCCGGGUC